UUCCAGCAAUGGGAAAGAUUUAUCGCUAUAAGAUUGGCCCGCGCAAGAUUAGCUUGUUGGUGAGGUAAAAGCUCACCAAGGCUUCGAUCUUUAGCUGGUUUGAGAGGAUGAUCAGCCACACUGGGACUGAGACACGGCCCAGACUCCUACGGGAGGCAGCAGUAGGGAAUAUUGGACAAUGGGGGCAACCCUGAUCCAGCAAUGCAGCGUGAG
rnacentral:rRNA from 1 species